GAUUAUAUGUUUUUCCAUGAACAAGCCCGAUCCUGUCUGAUCUCGGAAGCUAAGCAGGGUCAGGCCUGGUUAGUACUUGGAUGGGAGACCACCUAGGAAGACCAGGUGCUGUAGGCA
rnacentral:rRNA from 1 species